rnacentral:rRNA from 1 species
CGCGAAGAACCUUACCAAGUCUUGACAUCCUUAUGACCGUCCAGUAAUGGGGACUUCUCUUCGGAGCAGGAGAGACAGGUGGUGCAUGGUUGUCGUCAGCUCGUGUCGUGAGAUGUUGGGUUAAGUCCCGCAACGAGCGCAACCCUUAUCCUUAGUAGCCAGCGGUUAGGCUGGGCACUCUAGGGAGACUGCCAGGGAUAACCUGGAGGAAGGUGGGGAUGACGUCAAAUCAUCAUGCCCCUUAUGACCUGGGCUACACACGUGCUACAAUGGCGUAAACAAAGGGAAGCAAAACUGUGAGGCGGAGCAAAUCCCAAAAAUAACGUCUCAGUUCGGAUUGUAGUCUGCAACUCGACUACAUGAAGCUGGAAUCGCUAGUAAUCGCGGAUCAGCA